GAUGAACGCUGGCGGCGUGCCUAAUACAUGCAAGUCGAGCGAACAGAUGAGGAGCUUGCUCCUCUGACGUUAGCGGCGGACGGGUGAGUAACACGUGGAUAACCUACCUAUAAGACUGGGAUAACUUCGGGAAACCGGAGCUAAUACCGGAUAAUAUAUUGAACCGCAUGGUUCAAUAGUGAAAGACGGUUUUGCUGUCACUUAUAGAUGGAUCCGCGCCGCAUUAGCUAGUUGGUAAGGUAACGGCUUACCAAGGCAACGAUGCGUAGCCGACCUGAGAGGGUGAUCGGCCACACUGGAACUGAGACACGGUCCAGACUCCUACGGGAGGCAGAAGUAGGGAAUCUUCCGCAAUGGGCGAAAGCCUGACGGAGCAACGCCGCGUGAGUGAUGAAGGUCUUCGGAUCGUAAAACUCUGUUAUUAGGGAAGAACAACUGUGUAAGUACCUAUGCACGUCUUGACGGUACCUAAUCAGAAAGCCACGGCUAACUACGUG
rnacentral:rRNA from 1 species